ncrna:unclassified sequences L13-Bacteroidia ribosomal protein leader
GGAGGUUAACUUAGGACCUCCGCGUACAGUUCGUGUUAAUAGUCACAUCUUUGGCCAGGUGUGACGGUUAGUGAAUC